rnacentral:rRNA from 1 species
GUGUCAGCAGCCGCGGUAAUACGGAGGGUGCAAGCGUUAUCCGGAUUCACUGGGUUUAAAGGGUGCGUAGGCGGGCUUAUAAGUCAGUGGUGAAAGCCCGGAGCUUAACUUCGGAACUGCCAUUGAUACUGUAAGUCUUGAGUACACUUGAGGUGGGCGGAAUACAUCAUGUAGUGGUGAAAUACUUAGAUAUGAUGUAGAACACCGAUUGCGAAGGCAGCUCACUAAAUUGUAACUGACGCUGAGGCACGAAAGCGUGGGGAUCAAACAGGAUUAGAAACCCGCGUAGUCC